rnacentral:rRNA from 1 species
UACAGAGGGGGCAAGCGUUGUUCGGAAUUACUGGGCGUAAAGGGCGCGUAGGCGACCUUCUAAGUCGAACGUGAAAUCCCCGGGCUCAACCCGGGAACUGCGUCCGAUACUGGAAGGCUUGAAUCCGGGAGAGGGAUGUGGAAUUCCAGGUGUAGCGGUGAAAUGCGUAGAUAUCUGGAGGAACACCGGUGGCGAAGGCGACAUCCUGGACCGGUAUUGACGCUGAGGCGCGAAAGCCAGGGGAGCAAACGGG